CCUACGGGUGGCUGCAGUGAGGAAUAUUGGUCAAUGGGCGCAAGCCUGAACCAGCCAUCCCGCGUGCAGGAAGACGGCCCUAUGGGUUGUAAACUGCUUUUCCAGGGGACGAAUAGUUUCUACGUGUAGAGACCUGACGGUACCUUGGGAAUAAGCAUCGGCUAACUCCGUGCCAGCAGCCGCGGUAAUACGGAGGAUGCAAGCGUUAUCCGGUUUCAUUGGGGCAUAGGCGUAUUAAGGAGGAUUCAGUGAAAUCCUACAGCUUAACUGUAGAACUGCCAUUGAUACUGUUAGUCUUGAGUUUGGUUAAGGUAGGCGGAAUGUGUAAUGUAGCGGUGAAAUGCUUAGAUAUUACACAGAACACCAAUUGCGAAGGCAGCUUACUGGACCGACACUGACGCUGAGGCACGAAAGCGUGGGGAUCGAACAGGAUUAGAUACCCUGGUAGUC
rnacentral:rRNA from 1 species